GAGACAUCUUGGAAGUCUCCUUGAUUACACAUCUUCACUAGCCACCAAACUCUAGGAGGAAUUAUUGAUAUAGUGUGACUUCUGCAAGCUGAAGAGAGAUGGUAUGGUCUGGGAAUUCUCAAAAUUACCAUGAAUCCCUGAAUACCAAGAUAAUGAAGACUCAGUCAGAGUUCUGUGCUCAACUUCUUGUAGCACUCAUGAGACAUUCUCUGAGGUCUUCAUAAACUCUGUGUCAUUAUUGUGUAUUUUGAGGUUGUAUCUCAGGAAACCAGUUCUUCACCUCCUGAUGGGCAUCAUUAAUGUUCAUUUUCAGUAGCAGCAGGGGACUUAUACAGUACACAGAAUCUUCUGCAGAAAAUCUCAGGUCCCUUUACAGAUGUUGUCAGUAAACUUACAGGGAAAAUUAUCACCUCCCCCUGAGGAAAUAAGAUCAAUCAAUCCCAAACCUAUAUCAGAGGCUCCAUUCCACAUCUGCAUACAGCAACCUAGCAGACAAUGCCUGGAUAACAUUCAUUCAAAGAUUCCUGUGAUCGGCAGAAUCUUGACCCUUAUGCACUGUGAAUUUCUGCCCUGAGUUAUGGGUACAACUUUAUUACUCCAGAUUUUUACUUUAUGGAUACCUGUGGGUCUUGAAUUAUCUGAAUUAUUUCUGGUGCAUGUUUGAAUGUCUGGACUAUAAGAGAAAGACCAUUAGGAGGUGUAUCAUUGUUGGAGCAGUUGUGGACUUGUUGGAGGAAGAGUGUCAUUGUGGAGGUGGAC